rnacentral:rRNA from 1 species
GGGAGCAAACAGGAUUAGAUACCCUGGUAGUCCACGCCGUAAACGAUGUCGACUUGGAGGCUGUUCCCUUGAGGAGUGGCUUCCGGAGCUAACGCGUUAAGUCGACCGCCUGGGGAGUACGGCCGCAAGGUUAAAACUCAAAUGAAUUGACGGGGGCCCGCACAAGCGGUGGAGCAUGUGGUUUAAUUCGAUGCAACGCGAAGAACCUUACCUGGCCUUGACAUCCACGGAAUUUGGCAGAGAUGCCUUAGUGCCUUCGGGAACCGUGAGACAGGUGCUGCAUGGCUGUCGUCAGCUCGUGUUGUGAAAUGUUGGGUUAAGUCCCGCAACGAGCGCAACCCUUAUCCUUUGUUGCCAGCGAUUCGGUCGGGAACUCAAAGGAGACUGCCGGUGAUAAACCGGAGGAAGGUGGGGAUGACGUCAAGUCAUCAUGGCCCUUACGGCCAGGGCUACACACGUGCUACAAUGGCGCAUACAAAGAGAAGCGACCUCGCGAGAGCAAGCGGACCUCAUAAAGUGCGUCGUAGUCCGGAUCGGAGUCUGCAACUCGACUCCGUGAAGUCGGAAUCGCUAGUAAUCGUGGAUCAGAAUGCCACGGUGAAUACGUUCCCGGGCCUUGUACACACCGCCCGUCACACCAUGGGAGUGGGUUGCAAAAGAAGUAGGUAGCUUAACCUUC